rnacentral:tRNA from 1 species
UAGCUCAGUUGGUACAGCAUGGCGCCUGCAACGCCAGGGAUGUGGGUUCAAUUCCCAC